AUUGAACGCUGGCGGCAUGCUUUACACAUGCAAGUCGAACGGCAGCGGGGAGGAGCUUGCUUCUCUGCCGGCGAGUGGCGAACGGGUGAGUAAUACAUCGGAACGUGUCGAGAAUAGGGUGAUAACCACCCGAAAGGGUUGCUAAUACCUCAUAAAUUCUGAGGAAGAAAGCUGGGUACCUAGGAAUAGCGCUAGCGCUUGUUCAGCGGCCGAUGUCGGAUUAGCUAGUUGGUGAGGUAAAGGCUCACCAAGGCGAAGAUCUGUAGCGGGUCUGAGAGGAUGAUCCGCCACACUGGGACUGAGAUACGGCCCAGACUCCUACGGGAGGCAGCAGUGGGGAAUUUUGGACAGUGGGGGCAAACCUGAUCCAGCCAUGCCGAGUGUAUGAAGAAGGCCUUAGGGUUGUAAAGUACUUUUGUUAGGGAAGAAACGCCAGCUGUGAAUAAUGGCUGAUACUGACGGUACCUAAAGAAUAAGCACCGGCUAACUACGUG
rnacentral:rRNA from 1 species